UGGGGAAUAUUGCGCAAUGGACGAGAGUCUGACGCAGCGACGCCGCGUGUGGGAGGAAGCCCUUCGGGGUGUAAACCACUGUCAGGGGGGAAGAACACUCGUCGCGUGAAUAACUCGGCGGGCUGACGGUACCCCCAGAGGAAGCGCCGGCUAACUCCGUGCCAGCAGCCGCGGUAAGACGGAGGGCGCAAGCGUUGUUCGGAAUUACUGGGCGUAAAGCGCGGGCAGGCGGUCUGCUAAGUCUACUGUGAAACUCCGGGGCUCAACUCCGGACAUGCAGUGGAUACUGGCAGUCUAGAGAAUGGUAGAGGCAAGCGGAAUUCCUGGUGUAGCGGUGGAAUGCGUAGAUAUCAGGAAGAACACCUGUGGCGAAGGCGGCUUGCUGGGCCAUGUCUGACGCUCAUCCGCGAAAGCGUGGGGAGCAAACAGGAUUAGAUACCCCCGUAGUCC
rnacentral:rRNA from 1 species